GGUUUCAUUUCUACUGUGACUUCCAGGAGAUGGUAUUUCUCAUAGAGGGUUCGGCGUAGCUCUUGCGGAGAAAGGAGACCCCAACAUCACCAGGCCGUUUUCCGUUCAAGGGCUUCCCUUCCGUCUAGCUGUUUCUGUUAUUGUUGCAGUCAGGCGACCGUGGCAGUUCUGCAUUGGCUUUCUCUCGUCUGCUGUGACUCUCUCCGCCAUGCAGGAGCCUGACACUGGCUGGAAUGGGGUGAGAGGAGAGGAGGAGGAGGAGAAGGAGAAGAGGAAGAAGAAGAAGAAGAGGAAGAGGAAGAGGAAGAAGGAAGAGGAGAAGAAGGAGGAGGAGAAGAAGAAGAAGAAGAAGAGAAGAAGAAAGAUUUUUAAAAAUUGCUAUUUUUCUACCGAGUAAUGGACCGAAGUUGUCCACUGUGAAGGUGACAAACAAUAUGGACUGUCUGCCAGAGUCUCGAGGCGGCAGGAGGAAGGUGGCGGGCCUAGCUCGCCCGGGAAAUUAUAGAUGUUUGUAUGCAAAUGCUAGAAGUGUUCAAAGUAAAAUUGGUGAAUUGGAA